rnacentral:rRNA from 1 species
CCAAUAGCGUAUAUUAAAGUUGUUGCAGUUAAAAAGCUCGUAGUUGAAUUUCGGGGUUUGUCCAUUGGUCGGGCUUUAUUGUCCGUACUGGUGUGAUGAAUUCCUACCUUCUGAAUAACCUUCAUGCCAUUAAUUUGGUGCGUUGGGGAAGCAGAGCUGUUACCUUGAAAAAAUUAGAGUGCUUAAAGCAGGCAAGUGCCUGAAUACAUUAGCAUGGAAUAAUGAAAUAGGACGGCAUGGUUCUAUUUUGUUGGUUUCUAGGAUCACCGUAAUGAUUAAUAGGGAUAGUUGGGGGCAUUAGUAUUCAAUUGUCAGAGGUGAAAUUCUUGGAUUUAUUGAAGACUAACUUCUGCGAAAGCAUUUGCCAAGGAUGUUUUCAUUAAUCAAGAACGAAAGUUAGGGGAUCGAAGACGAUCAGAUACCGUCGUAGUCUUAACCAUAAACUAUGCCGACUAGGGAUCGGACGAUGUUAAUUUUUUAAUGACUCGUUCGGCGCCUUACG